AACGCACAUUGCGCCCGCCAGUAUUCUGGCGGGCAUGCCUGUUCGAGCGUCAUUUCAACCAUCAAGCCCCCGGCUUGUGUUGGGGACCUGCGGCUGCCGCAGGCCCUGAAAACCAGUGGCGGGCUCGCUAGUCACUCCGAGCGUAGUAGUUACAUCUCGCUCAGGGCGUGCUGCGGGUUCCGGCCGUUAAAAGCCUUAUUUACCCAAGGUUGACCUCGGAUCAGGUAGGAAGACCCGCUGAACUUAA
rnacentral:misc_RNA from 1 species